GUUUACUCAAACUCAGGUCAAUUGAGUCGAUGAUUCUAUCCAAACACCUCAUCCUCUGUUGUCCCCUUCUCCUCCCGCCCUCAGUCUUUCCCAGCAUCAGGGUCUUUUCCAAUGAGUCAGUUUUUUGCAUCAGGUGGCCAAAGUAUUAGAGUUACAGCUUCAGCAUCAGUCUUCCCAGUGAAUAUUCAGGACUGAUUUCCUUUAGGAUGGACUGGUUGGAUCUCCUUGCAAGUCCAAGGGACUCUCAAGAGUCUUCUCCAACACCACAGUUCAAAAGCAUCUAUUCUUCGGUGCUCAGCUUUCUUUAUUGUCCAACUCUCACAUCCAUACAUGACUACUGGAAAAACCCUACCUUAGUGGUACUGAAAUAUUGUUCUUUCAUUUCAUGCCUAGGAAAGAGUGUCCCCCACAUCUCUCCUUUUGGAUGUGCCAGAGAAGCCUGCAACCCCACUGCUUCUAACAGCCUUCUUGUGACUAAGAUGUAUCUCAAGCCCUUUGAGUCAUAUCAAGCCUGA
rnacentral:lncRNA from 1 species